AUUGAACGCUGGCGGCAGGCCUAACACAUGCAAGUCGAACGGUAACAGGAAGAAGCUUGCUUCUUUGCUGACGAGUGGCGGACGGGUGAGUAAUGUCUGGGAAACUGCCUGAUGGAGGGGGAUAACUACUGGAAACGGUAGCUAAUACCGCAUAACGUCGCAAGACCAAAGAGGGGGACCUUCGGGCCUCUUGCCAUCGGAUGUGCCCUGAUGGGAUUAGCUAGUAGGUGGGGUAACGGCUCACCUAGGCGACGAUCCCUAGCUGGUCUGAGAGGAUGACCGGCCACACUGGAACUGAGACACGGUCCAGACUCCUACGGGAGGCAGCAGUGGGGAAUAUUGCACAAUGGGCGCAAGCCUGAUGCAGCCAUGCCGCGUGUGUGAAGAAGGCCUUCGGGUUGUAAAGUACUUUCAGCGGGGAGGAAGGGAGUAAAGUUAAUACCUUUGCUCAUUGACGUUACCCGCAGAAGAAGCACCGGCUAACUCCGUG
rnacentral:rRNA from 1 species